rnacentral:rRNA from 1 species
UACGUAGGGCGCAAGCGUUGUCCGGAAUUAUUGGGCGUAAAGAGCUCGUAGGCGGCUUGUCACGUCGGAUGUGAAAGCCCGGGGCUUAACCCCGGGUCUGCAUUCGAUACGGGCUAGCUAGAGUGUGGUAGGGGAGAUCGGAAUUCCCGGUGUAGUGGUGGAAUGCGUAGAUAUCGGGAGGAACACCAGUGGCGAAGGCGGUUGCCUGGGGCUUUGCUGACGCUGAUGCGCGAAAGCGUGGGGAGCGAUCCGG